UUUCAGGAUGCAACUCCUAAGUGCAGAAAGAAGGCCCAUCUCCGUCACCCUAUCGUUCUAGUUUGCCGGUGAUGCAGCCCCUGCUUGGAGACCCACCCUCCAUUUAUUCAAGACCUACAGAAAGGAGCAGGAGUGACUGCAUGUGAACUACGAAGGCGAAGUUGCUCAAAGCAAUAUAAGUAUCCUUUUUAUCAUUUCUUUACUGGUUUUCCAAUCAUUUUCCUGAAUCGUUCUGCUCUUGUUUGCAACUCUAAUAAUCACAGUCCUUUUUGUUUAUUGUUUUGAACUUGAUGUGUUAUUUUUGGUCUUUCUCAAAAUAUUUUGUGCAUACAUUUGACAGUGGAUUCAUUUACAUAUUUAGAAGUCUUUUAUUAAUUUGCUCUUGAGAUCGAUAGGUAGGAAUUCAGGGUCUUCUCAUUUCCAGUCUUUUUGUAGGUAUGAUAAAUAUAGCUAUUGCAAAUCGUGAUUUAGACCUUAUUAGAUAUUCAAAGUUAAUUUAUGGCAAAUCAUGCCUUUCAAAUCUGGUCCCUCAUCAGGGUCAUACCUGGUGAAAUAUGCCGAAACCUAUAAAAUGCAAGUCUUUUUACAUUGGAAUAUAGUUUGAGACGUUAAAUAAUAAACUUUUCCAUGGAUCAGAAAUGGUCAUAUUAAGUAUUAGUGGUCUCUCUUGAGAUUUUCGUAAUCUUUGGAACUUUGGUACACGAAGAGUAUGAGCAUUAAAAAAUGGGCAGACACACUGUCAUGAAAAAUGUGAAAGAAAUGGUAUGUAACUUGAGAAAGAAAUGGCUGAAACUGUACACGUUUGUAAAUGAUUAGGAUGAUCUGGGGGUUUGUAAAACAGCACUGUAGAUUUUUAGGCAAUAGAGUAAGAGAACAAAGUGAAAUGAUGUUUUGUGUUAGAUAUUUAGAUUUAAGUCAUAUAGAGUUUGAGACAUUAAAUAAUACUGUUUUCCAUGGAUCAGAAAUUAUUCAUACUAAGUAUUAUGGGAGGCAUUGAGAUUUUCAUAAUCUUUAGAACUUUUGGUAUUGAGUGUAUGAGUAUUGUCAUCUUGUCAUGUUAUUAGAUUUUAUUAAUAUUAUUAGUUGAAUAUUGAAUGUUAAAUGUUGAAAAAAUUUUGUUCCAGCGCGGUAGGGGCAUCUGAGACCUCCGUAGGCUCCCCGUCGCCUCAUCCGAAGUCUUCGAAGUCUCGGGAGACUUUGCAACUAUGCUGCCGAAGUCUUGGGCGGCUUCGAACAAGGCAUGGACUGGACCUGGCGGGUUAGAGCAAAUACUACUACGGGAAUUUUUUGGUCGAGAUUUGACAAAUCCUGGUAAUCUCUUAGAAAAGUAGUUUGAGAGUUGUGGUUGAACUGUAGUGCGGUGAGAGUUCGGGCCUGACAAUGGAUGCUCUGGACCACGUGACAUUUCUUCAGUCUGUAUGUGUAAUACUCUCAGCCCCCCUCCACCCUGGGUGGCCGAGGGAUACUGUACUGCUAUGUGGGAGUUUCAGACAGUUGUUCUCUGGACCUUCAUCUUUGCAUUACUAAAAAAGUUUUUGCCUUGUCUUUGGUUAAGUAUAAUGGGCUUUCAUAUUGUUAAUUAAAGCUCAGAAACGAAUUCCGGGACCUUCCAGUUGAGUCAGGUGAGGUGGAUGAUUUAACAGUCAAAGUUUAAGAUAAUGAACAAUAUUCUUUACAGGUUGGUAACAGUAUACAUGAAAUUCUAAAACAAAUAUUUACAUGAAAUUCUAAAACUAAUAUUAUUUUAAGGAGAAAAUGGCAGAGUUGGGUAUUAAACAUGUGACUUCAUCUCCUUAUCCUGAAAGUCAGGGUGCUCUGAAGAGGUGGGAGGAAACCUUUGCAACUUUGCCAUAUCAAUAUGUUAAAGGAAUAUAAGGGAACGGGGUUAUAGAGUAUUCCUGUGGCAAUAGUUGGGAAGGAUUAGUAAUAACCUUUAUUCUUUUCCAGAGGAAGAAUUUAAAUGAGGGUAAAUGUGGUAUUGAUGAUGGUAACUGGUCAUCAGGUAUUAAGACUUCUUUGGAAAAUUGAUGGUUCAGUUUCUCAUGAGAGUUAUGAGAAACGUAGGUCUGAAGUGAAGAAGUUAGUGUUCGAAUACGAAAAAUUGUUCUUGGAUGUACCAGGUUGAACAUCUGUCUUAGAGCAUAACGUUGAUGUUGGGAAUGCCACGUCACUGAAAGUGGCAAUCUCCAUGGAAAAAUAUGAAAGAAAUCACCCGAGGUCAAUAACCUUUAUUCUUCUUGCAGAGAAAAUUCAAAUGAUGGUCACUAUGGUUGGUGGUAUUGAUAGUAAUUGGCCAUCAGGUAAUAAGAUAAGAAACGUAGGUAUCUGAAGAAGUUUGUGUUCGAAUAUAAAGAAUUGUUUUCGGGUAUACCAGAUUGAACGAACAUCUGUCUAAGAACAUGGCGUAGAUGUUAUUGCCACGCCAGUGAAACAUCCUUAUAUUGCAAAGGAGGUGAAAUAUGUACGUAUAUGGUAAAACACGGUUUGAUCAAGAACACGGUGUACGAUUUAGAAGGGUGUGGUUUAUAUUGACUAUUUAAUGAUGAUUGGGACACUCAUUUAAAGCGUAGCAAGGCCUUAUUUUGAGGUAAUGAAGGAAAGUGAAUUAGCAAAAGCGAAGGUUGAGAAGGGAUUCUUGCAGAGGGCUG